CGGCGUAAAGAGUGGUUAUGGGAACCCCACACUAAAGUCGAAACCCCCUCUAACUGUUAUACGCAUUCAGGGAUCCUAAUUUCUUUUACGAAAGUGACUUUAUUAUUAUCCACCAGAACCCACGACAGCUAGGGCACAAACUGGGAUUAGAUACCCCACUAUGCCUAGCCAUAAACUUAGAUAUCUUAAUACAACAGAUAUCCGCCAGGGAACUACAAGCAUUAGCUUAAAACCCAAAGGACUUGGCGGUGUCUCAGACCCCCCUAGAGGAGCCUGUUCUAGAACCGAUAACCCCCGUUCAACCUCACCACUCCUUGCCCUUUCCGCCUAUAUACCACCGUCGCCAGCUUACCCUGUGAAGGAAUAGUAAGCAAAAUGGAGAAACUCCAGAACGUCAGGUCGAGGUGUAGCACACGAAGUGGGAAGAAAUGGGCUACAUUGCCUGCACCAGGCUAUUCACGGAAAGUCACCUGAAACGGUUACUCGAAGGUGGAUUUAGCAGUAAGGGGAGAAUAGAGUGCUCCCUUGAAGCCGGCUCUGAGACGCGCACACACCGCCCGUCACUCUCCCCAACUACCGCAUUCUUUAGUAAAUAACACCGUACCGCAAAGUACAGGGGAGGCAAGUCGUAACAUGGUAAGUGUACC
rnacentral:rRNA from 1 species